GAAAUGCGAUAAGUAAUGUGAAUUGCAGAAUUCUGUGAAUCAUCGAAUCUUUGAACGCACAUUGCGCCCGCCAGUAUUCUGGCGGGCAUGCCUGUCCGAGCGUCAUUUCAACCAUCAAGCCCCCGGGCUUGUGUUGGGGACCUGCGGCUGCCCGCAGGCCCUGAAAACCAGUGGCGGGCUCGCUGUCACACCGAGCGUAGUAGCAAUCACCUCGCUCAGGGCGUGCUGCGGGUUCCGGCCGUCAAACAGCCUUACAAAACCCAAGGUUGACCUCGGAUCAGGUAGGAAGACCCGCUGAACUUAAGC
rnacentral:misc_RNA from 1 species